UACGAAGGGUGCAAGCGUUACUCGGAAUUACUGGGCGUAAAGGGCUCGUAGGCGGCCAACUAAGUCAGACGUGAAAUCCCUCAGCUUAACUGGGGAACUGCGUCUGAUACUGGAUGGCUUGGAUUCGGGAGAGGAAUGCGGAAUUCCAGGUGUAGCGGUGAAAUGCGUAGAUAUCUGGAGGAACACCGGUGGCGAAGGCGGCAUUCUGGACCGACAUUGACGCUGAGGAGCGAAAGCCAGGGGAGCAAACGGG
rnacentral:rRNA from 1 species